AAGCUCGAAGGCGCGGGGUAUCGAACAAGGAUUAGAUACCCUGGUAGUCCGCGCGGGUAAAACGAUGGAUGCUCGCUGUUGGGUUAUUUUGCUCAGCGGCCAAGCGAAAGCGUUAAGCAUCCCACCUGGGGAGUACGCCGGCAACGGUGAAACUCAAAGAAAUUGACGGGGGCCCGCACAAGCGGAGGAACAUGUGGUUUAAUUCGAUGAUACGCGAGGAACCUUACCCGGGCUUGAACUGCAGGAGAACGCGGCAGAGAUGCCAAGGUCCUUCGGGACUCCUGUGGAGGUGCUGCAUGGUUGUCGUCAGCUCGUGCCGUGAGGUGUCGGCUUAAGUGCCAUAACGAGCGCAACCCCUGUCUUAAGUUGCCAUCGGGUAAUGCCGGGGACUCUUGAGAUACUGCCACCGCAAGGUGUGAGGAAGGUGGGGAUGACGUCAAAUCAGCACGGCCCUUACGUCCGGGGCUACACACGUGUUACAAUGGCGCGUACAGAGUGCCGGCCGUGCGCAGGUACGGUCCAAUCACUAAAACGCGUCUCAGUUCGGACUGGGGUCUGCAACCCGACCCCACGAAGCUGGAUUCGCUAGUAAUCGCGCAUC
rnacentral:rRNA from 1 species